UCAUCAUCAUCAUCAUCGUUGCCUUCACACAUGCAACACCAACAUUGAUCAUUCGCACUCAACCUCAAAUGAACCAAUCAUCCAUGCUUAUUCAUACCCAACAACAAGUAAAUCAAUUUUCAAUGUCCCUUUUCCCUGUAAAGUUUAGUCACUGGAUGAAUGAUUUAUUAUUAAUUUCAUAUUUUAAUUAAUGCAUCUUAAAUAAAAGGUUAUAUAUGCAUGUUUCAGAAUGAGACUAAACGGAGUGGUAACUGCGAUUACAAGGUGACCAUAGCAACAAGCUGCAAAUCUCCUUUAUCUACAAAAGAUGAAAUCAGUAUUUUAUUUGGAGAUGCUGAUGGCUCUGAGGUUCCUUUCUAUACCACAAACAAUUAAUCAUAUAUCUAUACAUGUUUAUGUUGCUCCUUAAUUUUUGUUGUGCAAAUAAUAUUACACCCUAAUUAUUAAUAUUUGUUAGUUGCCAACAAAAAAAUUAUAUAUCUAUACAUAUAAUAAUUGCAGGUUUAUGUACCAAGAUUGGACGAUCCUGAUUCUGGGACGACGUUCGAGCAAUGCACCACGAUGGAUUUUGAGAUAUUGGGACCAUGUAUUGGUAAAAUAUGCAAAAUGUAUCUAUUUAGGAACGGCACGGAUGGUUGGAUACCAGAGACUGUCAUAGCA
rnacentral:lncRNA from 1 species